rnacentral:tRNA from 1 species
GCCCAGGUAGCUCAGCCGGUAGAGCAGGAGUCUGAAGAGCUCCGUGUCGCUGGUUCGACUCCAGCCCUGGGCA